AGUAGGGAUGCCUUAAAAAAAUGAGCAAACCGAAGAAUUUUCUGGAUUACUGCCAGGGUCAAAGUCACUGACGAACAGUAUGCUUGGUUGAUCAAGCAAUAGAUGAGGCCAAGAAGAGAGCUCUAAAAUGAGGGGCUUCACAGAAUUGACAUAUCCUGUCUUUCUGCUGACAAUCAAAAUGAUCCAGAAAAGAUCUGGGAAGAUCUCGAUGACCUGCUCAAGGAAUGUUGCAAUUGAAAGAGGAUCUCACAUUGAGAAACCUAUCCAGGCAAUAGUAGAAAGUGAAACCGGAAAAUGGCACAAGGCAGUGAUGGGAACAGAA